rfam:Tepidibacillus sp. Z9 scaffold00001, whole genome shotgun sequence.
AUUAAAAAAAUCCCACAGAGAAAAAAAGCCUCUGUGGGGUUAAUGCACGCAAGGUGCAUCAACGAAAUGGGAGAGGAGAAACCGGAGGAAGAGCUUAUGGGGAAACGUAAGUCUUCUCCGCGG